CGGAAUGAGUACGAUUCGAACCACCUAACGAGGAACGAUCGGAGGGCAAGUCUGGUGCCAGCAGCCGCGGUAAUUCCAGCUCCAAUAGCGUACGUUAAAGUUGCUGCAGUUAAAAAGCUCGUAGUUGAACGUUCGGGUUCCGCGGGACGGGGCCGCCCCGCGAGGGACGGCGCCGCCCCGGGGCUCGUGAUAUCUCAUCUCGCCGCCCGUCGCGAGGCGGACGGAGGGAUGGAUGAGGUUACCUGGAAAAAAUCGGGGCGAUCUAGGCGGGCGAACCUCGCCAACGAACGAUCGGACAUGGGAUAACGGAAGAGGGCGUCGGCUCGACUUCGUCGGUUCCUCGGGCCGAGGCACGUACGGUGAAUAGGGACGGUCGGGGCCGCCCGUACCGGGUCGGUGAGAGGUGAAAUUCUUAGGAUCGACCCGAGACGAACCGCCGCGAAAGCAUUCGGCAAGGACGCUUUCAUUAAUACAAGAACGAAAGUCGGGGAGUCGAGACGAUCAGAUACCGUCGUAGUCCGACC
rnacentral:rRNA from 1 species